rnacentral:rRNA from 1 species
ACGGAUGCUAUACGGCGAGUGAAGCGGCAAAAGCUCAAAUUUGAAAUCGGCCCCCAGUCGAGUUGUAAUUUGUAGAUUGUAUCUUGAGAGCGGAUUAAAGUCUGUUGGAACACAGCGCCUUAGAGGGUGACAGCCCCGUAAAAUCUAUUCUCAUUGUAAGAUACUUUCGAAGAGUCGAGUUGUUUGGGAAUGCAGCUCUAAGUGGGAGGUAAAUUCCUUCUAAAGCUAAAUAUUGACGAGAGACCGAUAGCGAACAAGUACUGUGAAGGAAAGAUGAAAAGCACUUUGAAAAGAGAGUGAAAAAGUACGUGAAAUUGUUAAAAGGGAAGGGUAUUGAAUCAGACUUGGUGCUGUUGUUCAACUGUGUUUCGGCAUGUGUACUCAGCAGUACUAGGCCAAGGUGGGGUGUUUGGGAGUGAAAAAGAAGUGGAACGUAACUCUUCGGAGUGUUAUAGCCUACUUUCAUAGCUCCUCAGGCGCCUCAGGACUGCGCUUCGGCAAGGACCUUGGCAUAAUGAUUCUAUACCGCCCGUCUUGAAACACGG